UCUUGUUUUCCAGGUGUGUGUGUGUGUGUGUGUGUGUGUGUGAACAAUUUUUGUCUUAAAGUACAUAACAUUAAAGGCAGUAAAAUAUUUUCUACUUCAGUAUAAACUGUAGCUUUUUGUUAGCACUGCACAUGUCACUCAGUCAGUCUACAGUAUAAAUGUAGUGCUAUAUUGCACAUUUAGUUGCACAGUGGAAUUUUUAACCAUACAUUGUGAUUUAACCCACAUAUUCUGAACUUGAACUGAACCAACAAAUUGAUAGGGGGGGGGAUAUAUUAAACUGGUUUUCAUGUAGUCAAAGAACGUUUUGCCAUCUUUAUGCAGUUGUUUUUUCAAUUUGACAAAUUAGUUAUUUUAUUGCCAGUGUUGGAAAUGGGUCUUAGUUUGAACUGUUUCAUUUCUUGUCAAGCAGCUUGUGCAAUACAUGAAGAGUUAAAACCAUAUGUUCAAAGAUACUUACGUUGCUUCAUUAUUGUCUAAAUAUUUUCAAGUUGACUUCUUUGACACUCGAGUAUAAACUUCAGAUUUCCCAUCAAAAUCCAGCAGGACGCAUGGGUAAUCCCAUGUGGUACCUCAGAUUUAUUACUGAGCAAAUGUAAUUUAUAAAUGCUAGAGUUUUGCAUUUCAGAGCACUGAAAGGUCAGUGAUGAAAAUUGCAUUUUGUAUCACAGUAUGUCUUCAAUGAGGAUAUUUUCCAAAUGUAAAUUUUGCCGUCUAUUUCUUUGCUUGCACAAGCCAUUGGACAGGGUAAAAUGUUGAGUUAAAAAGUUUACAUAAUUAAGUUAUUUUUUUCCACUGCAGUUUACAUAGUAGGAUUAUUUCCUUUCCAGAUUUUGUUUUGUAUGUGGAAUAACUGACUUGAAAAAGACAUCCUGCCCCCAUUUUUUGAGCAGUAAAUUAAAGGAGUGAUGUAAAAAAAA